GAUAAGGUGGCUGAAGAUUAGGCGGUAAAUUGUAAAUUUAUUCAUGGUUUAAAAGACCCUUUGUCA
rnacentral:tRNA from 1 species